CACCUACGGGAGGCAGCAGUGGGGGAUAUUGCACAAUGGGGGAAACCCUGAUGCAGCGACGCCGCGUGUAGGAAGACGGUCCUCUGGAUUGUAAACUACUGUCCCCAGGGACGAAGAUGACGGUACCUGGGGAGGAAGCUCCGGCUAACUACGUGCCAGCAGCCGCGGUAAUACGUAGGGAGCGAGCGUUGUCCGGAAUUACUGGGUGUAAAGGGAGCGUAGGCGGGGAUGCAAGUUGGGUGUUAAAUCUACCGGCUCAACUGGUAGUCGCACUCCAAACUGCAGCUCUUGUGUGAAGAAGAGGG
rnacentral:rRNA from 1 species